rnacentral:rRNA from 1 species
UACGGAGGGUGCAAGCGUUGUUCGGAAUUACUGGGCGUAAAGCGCGUGUAGGCGGUCGCUUAAGUCUGAUGUGAAAUCCCGGGGCUCACCCCCGGAAGUGCAUUGGAAACUGAGCGACUAGAGUGCCGGAGAGGAGGGUGGAAUUCCUGGUGUAGCGGUGAAAUGCGUAGAUAUCAGGAGGAACACCGGUGGCGAAGGCGGCCCUCUGGACGGAUACUGACGCUGAGACGCGAAAGCGUGGGGAGCAAACAGG